AAACAUUGACGUUUGUCAAUAUUUCACCGGAGCCCACUUCAGUUGGUGAAUCGCUGUGCUCUCUUCGAUUUGCCGCUAGAGUUAAUGCUUGUGAGAUUGGAAUUCCUAGGCGUCAGACUAAUGUACGGCAUGUUGAUCCACGCUUGAGCUAUGGCUGAUUCUGAUUUUUGUUGUGCGUCUUGGCACAUGUAGUUUGUUUCAGAGUAACUGUUAUCCAUAAGGAGGGUCAUUGUUUAAUGAACAAGUGAGUU
rnacentral:misc_RNA from 1 species